AAGGUGGGGAGGAGGAGCUUGGAUUGGUUGGUGCAGUUACUAUUAUGUAGUGAUUGAGUGUAAUGUAGUUGACAUUUUUUUGUCGUUUAGAUCUUGUAUAGUAUUAUUUGUAAUAAAUACAAUGUAGUUGCUUUUAAUAAGUACCUAGAAGAUAAGUUAUGGAAGAUUGACGGAUUUGACUGAUUGGGUCUAUGACGGGACGUCAUUUCUCGAAGUGGGGGAGUAUGUGACCGGGUCGACUUUCUCCCGAUUUGUCUUAAUAGUGGUUUAUAACCCUUACCUAUUAUUUUAACAUUAUAUUUUCUUGAGUGUGAUCACAUGAUCAUAUCCGAGGGAAAAGGUGGAAGACAUUUUUAUGUAAUCUAAAACCACCAGUUAAAACUUCACUCUAGUGGUCAAUAUUGCACCAGUAGGGUGAGAGAGGAUUGAAGGAAGAGAAAGAGAAAAGGGGACUCAAUUCCACAAAUUGAUCCUUCGAUUGAGAUUCACUCUGGGAUACAAGUUAAUUCUUCUGCAUAAUUUGAUUAUGAACUUCUAACCUUAUUAAAAGAAGUGAACUUGGAAACUGUCUUGAAUUAUAAAUUUAUCUUGUGUAUUGGUUUACAACACCCGUAACCAAAGGU